CAAAUUAAAUCUUUAUAGUAAAGUAAUUCAUUUACAUUGAAAAUUUAAAUGUGCAAUUCAUUUUAAUUUGA
rnacentral:tRNA from 1 species